UACAGAGGUCUCAAGCGUUGUUCGGAUUUAUUGGGCGUAAAGCGUGCGUAGGCGGCGGGGCAAGUGAGGUGUGAAAUCCCGGAGCUUAACUCCGGAACUGCACUUUAUACUGCCUUGCUCGAGGGCUGGAGAGGAGACUGGAAUUUACGGUGUAGCAGUGAAAUGCGUAGAGAUCGGAAGGAAGACCAGUGGCGAAGGCGAGUCUCUGGAAAGCUGCUGACGCUGAGGCACGAAGGCCAGGGGAGCAAACGGG
rnacentral:rRNA from 1 species